AUUGAACGCUGGCGGCAGGCCUAACACAUGCAAGUCGAACGGUAGCACAGAGGAGCUUGCUCCUUGGGUGACGAGUGGCGGACGGGUGAGUAAUGUCUGGGAAACUGCCCGAUGGAGGGGGAUAACUACUGGAAACGGUAGCUAAUACCGCAUAACGUCGCAAGACCAAAGAGGGGGACCUUCGGGCCUCUUGCCAUCGGAUGUGCCCAGAUGGGAUUAGCUAGUAGGUGGGGUAACGGCUCACCUAGGCGACGAUCCCUAGCUGGUCUGAGAGGAUGACCAGCCACACUGGAACUGAGACACGGUCCAGACUCCUACGGGAGGCAGCAGUGGGGAAUAUUGCACAAUGGGCGCAAGCCUGAUGCAGCCAUGCCGCGUGUAUGAAGAAGGCCUUCGGGUUGUAAAGUACUUUCAGCGAGGAGGAAGGCAUUAAGGUUAAUAACCGCAACGAUUGACGUUACUCGCAGAAGAAGCACCGGCUAACUCCGUGCCAGCCGCCGCG
rnacentral:rRNA from 1 species